UGGUCUGAGAGGAUGAUCUCCACACUGGGACUGAGACACGGCCCAGACUCCUGCGGGAGGCAGCAGUGGGGAAUAUUGGACAAUGGGCGAAAGCCUGAUCCAGCAAUGCCGCGUGAGUGAUGAAGGCCUUAGGGUUGUAAAGCUCUUUUACCCGGAAAGAUUAUGACUGUACCAUGAGAAUAAGCCCCGGCUAACUCCGUGCCACCACCCCCGGUAAUCCGGAGGGGGCUAGCGUUAUUCGGAAUUACUGGGCGUAAAGCGUACGUAGGCGGUGGUUCAAGUCAGAGGUGAAAGCCCGGAGCUCAGCUACGGAACUGCCUUUGAAACUAGAUGGCUGGAACAUCCGAUAGGUAAUUGGAAUUCCGAGUGUAGAGGUGAAAUUCGUAGAUAUUCGGAAGAACACCAGUGCGCGAAGGCAGCAUACUGGACGAUUGUUAACGCUCAGGUACAGAAAGCGUGGGGAGCAAACAGGAUUAGAUACUCUGGUAGUUCCACGCCCUAACGAUGAUCACUAGCUGUUGGGCCUCAUAGACGCUCAGUGGCGCAGCUAACGGAUUUCGUUAUCCGCCUGUGGAGUACGGUCUCUAGAUUAAACUCAGAGGAAUUGACGGGGUCCUGCACAAGCGGUGGAGCAUGUAGUUAAUUCGAAGCACGCGCAUACCUUACAGCGUUUGACAUGGCAGACGACUUCCACAGAUGAUAUCUUCCUUCGGGACUACACACAGGUCUUCUGGCUG
rnacentral:rRNA from 1 species